AGCGCAGGUGGGGAAGUAAGUCAGUCUUAAAAGUGCGGGGCUCAACCCCGUGAGGGGAUUGAAACUACUUUUCUUGAGUGCAGGAGAGGAAAGCGGAAUUCCUAGUGUAGCGGUGAAAUGCGUAGAUAUUAGGAGGAACACCAGUGGCGAAGGCGGCUUUCUGGACUGUAACUGACACUGAGGCUCGAAAGCCAGGGGAGCGAACG
rnacentral:rRNA from 1 species